CAUCGAGACCACCGUCAUCACCACCACAGCGCGCGCUCUCCCAACGGUCACUCCUCCCUCUUCUUUGCCGCUUUGAGCACCGCACUUUCUCUUACUCUGUCCUAAACGGUUCUUUCUCUCUGUUUUCGAUUCCAUCUGCUCCGCCUCAUUCAUUUGCGAGAUCUAAGACAGGAUGGAGACGGCGAAGGUGCAGCACGUGAGCAAGGCGUCGUCCGACGAGCUCCUCCGCAAGUUCGCCGAGCUCGACGACGGAACCCCGGCCGGCCCCUCCGCCCUCCUCCGCCCUCCUCCGCCACGCCUCUCCUCUCGUCACCAGGAAGAGAUCCAGGCGCACCGUCUCCGCCGGCGACGAGGCCGUUAGGGCAAGGAGGCGGAGGAAGAGCAAGGGCGGGCUGGCGGACCGGAAGUC
rnacentral:lncRNA from 1 species